rnacentral:rRNA from 1 species
CCUACGGGCGGCAGCAGUAGGGAAUAUUGCUCAAUGGGGGAAACCCUGAAGCAGCAACGCCGCGUGGAGGAUGAAGGUUUUCGGUUUGUAAACCUCUUUUGUUAGAGAAGAAAAUGACGGUAUCUAACGAAUAAGCACCGGCUAACUACGUGCCAGCAGCCGCGGUAAUACGGAGGGUGCGAGCGUUAACCGGAAUUACUGGGCGUAAAGCGCGCGUAGGCGGGAGGGCAAGUCAGAGGUGAAAUCCCCGCGCUUAACCUUGGAACUGCCUUUGAAACUGGGAAACUGGAGUGUGUGAGAGGAUAGUGGAAUUCCAGGUGUAGCAGUGAAAUGCGUAGAUAUCAGGAGGAACACCAGUGGCGAAGGCGACUAUCUGGCACGUAACUGACGCUGAGGAGCGAAAGCGUGGGGAGCAAACAGGAUUAGAUACCCGAGUAGUC